rnacentral:rRNA from 1 species
GAUGAACGCUGGCGGCGUGCCUAAUACAUGCAAGUCGAGCGAACAGACGAGGAGCUUGCUCCUCUGACGUUAGCGGCGGACGGGUGAGUAACACGUGGAUAACCUACCUAUAAGACUGGGAUCACUUCGGGAAACCGGAGCUAAUACCGGAUAAUAUAUUGCACCGCAUGGUUCAAUAGUUAAAGACGGUUUUGCUUGCACUUAUAGAUGGAUCCGCGCCGCAUUAGCUAGUUGGUAAGGUAACGGCUUACCAAGGCAACGAUGCGUAGCCGACCGGAGAGAGUGAUAGCCGACACUGGAGGGGGGCCGGGGUCAAGGCGACUACGGGAGGCAGCAGUAGGCAAUGUUACGCAAUGGGCGAGAGCAUGACGGAGCAACGCCGCGUGAGAGACGAAGGCCUUCGGAGCGUAAAACUCGGCUAUUAGGUAAAAACAAAUGUGUAAUGAAAUAUGCACGUCUUGACGGUACUGAAUCAGAAAGCAACGGCUAACUACGUG